CGGCAGGCCUAACACAUGCAAGUCGAGGGGUAACAUAAAAAAGCUUGCUUUUUUGAUGACGACCGGCGCACGGGUGCGUAACGCGUAUACAAUCUGCCUUAUACUGGGGUAUAGCCUUUAGAAAUGAAGAUUAAUCCCCCAUAGUCUCUUUUAAUGGCAUCAUUUUAAGAGUAAAGGUUACGGUAUAAGAUGAGUAUGCGUUCUAUUAGUUUGUUGGUGAGGUAAUGGCUCACCAAGACUGCGAUAGAUAGGGGCCCUGAGAGGGGGAUCCCCCACACUGGUACUGAGACACGGACCAGACUCCUACGGGAGGCAGCAGUGAGGAAUAUUGGACAAUGGAGGAAACUCUGAUCCAGCCAUGCCGCGUGCAGGAAGACUGCCCUAUGGGUUGUAAACUGCUUUUAUACAGGAAGAAACCGCUCUACGUGUAGAGCUCUGACGGUACUGUAAGAAUAAGGAUCGG
rnacentral:rRNA from 1 species